rnacentral:rRNA from 1 species
UACGGGAGGCAGCAGUGGGGAAUAUUGCACAAUGGGCGCAAGCCUGAUGCAGCCAUGCCGCGUGUAUGAAGAAGGCCUUCGGGUUGUAAAGUACUUUCAGUCGUGAGGAAGGUGUUAAGGUUAAUAACCUUAGCAAUUGACGUUAGCGACAGAAGAAGCACCGGCUAACUCCGUGCCAGCAGCCGCGGUAAUACGGAGGGUGCGAGCGUUAAUCGGAAUUACUGGGCGUAAAGGGCACGCAGGCGGUUAAUUAAGUUGGAUGUGAAAUCCCCGGGCUUAACCUGGGAAUGGCAUUCAGACUGGUUAGCUAGAGUCUUGUAGAGGGGGUAGAAUUCCAUGUGUAGCGGUGAAAUGCGUAGAGAUGUGGAGGAAUACCGGUGGCGAAGGCGGCCCCUGGCAAAGACUGACGCUCAUGUGCGAAAGCGUGGGGAGCAAACGAGGAUUAGAUACC